ensembl:piRNA 21ur-3890 ncRNA
UAUGUACGGGCUUCUGUUUGG